GUAAACCACUUUCAGGGAUGACGAAAAUGACGGUAAUCCCAGAAGAAGGUCCGGCCAACUACGUGCCAGCAGCCGCGGUAACACGUAGGGACCAAGCGUUGUCCGGAUUUAUUGGGCGUAAAGAGCUCGUAGGCGGUUUUGUAAGUCGGAUGUGAAAACUCAGGGCUCAACCCUGAGACGCCAUCUGAUACUGCAAUGACUAGAGUCCGGUAGGGGAACAUGGAAUUCCUGGUGUAGCGGUGGAAUGCGCAGAUAUCAGGAGGAACACCAAUGGCGAAGGCAGUGUUCUGGGCCGGUACUGACGCUGAGGAGCGAAAGCAUGGGGAGCAAACAGGAUUAGAUACCCUGGUAGUCCAUGCCGUAAACGUUGGGCACUAGGUGUGGGACCUUCUAACGGGUUCCGUGCCGUAGCUAACGCAUUAAGUGCCCCGCCUGGGGAGUACGGCCGCAAGGCUAAAACUCAAAUGAAUUG
rnacentral:rRNA from 1 species